GACAGAGGGUGCUAGCGUUGUUCGGAAUUACUGGGCGUAAAGGGCGCGUAGGCGGCUUGUUUAGUCGGGUGUGAAAUCCCGGGGCUCAACCCCGGAACUGCAUUCGAUACUGGCAGGCUAGAGACCGGAAGAGGUGGGUGGAAUACCCAGUGUAGAGGUGAAAUUCGUAGAUAUUGGGUGGAACACCGGUGGCGAAGGCGGCUCACUGGUCCGGUUCUGACACUGAGACGCGAAAGCGUGGGUAGCAAACAGG
rnacentral:rRNA from 1 species